rnacentral:rRNA from 1 species
UACGUAGGGGGCAAGCGUUGUCCGGAAUUAUUGGGCGUAAAGCGCGUGUAGGCGGUCCGAUAAGUCGGCUGUGAAAGCCCAGGGCUUAACCCUGGGAUGCCGGUCGAUACUGUCGGGCUAGAGUCCGGAAGAGGCGAGUGGAAUUCCCGGUGUAGCGGUGAAAUGCGCAGAUAUCGGGAGGAACACCAAUGGCGAAGGCAGCUCGCUGGGACGGUACUGACGCUGAGACGCGAAAGCGUGGGGAGCAAACAGG